UUCCUACGGGAGGCAGCAGUGGGGGAUAUUGCACAAUGGGGGGAACCCUGAUGCAGCGACGCCGCGUGGGUGAAGAAGCGCCUCGGCGCGUAAAGCCCUGUCAGCAGGGAAGAAAAUGACGGUACCUGACUAAGAAGCCCCGGCUAACUACGUGCCAGCAGCCGCGGUAAUACGUAGGGGGCAAGCGUUAUCCGGAUUUACUGGGUGUAAAGGGUGCGUAGGUGGCAGGGCAAGUCAGAUGUGAAAGCCCGGGGCCCAACCCCGGUACUGCAUUUGAAACUGUCCGGCUGGAGUGCAGGAGAGGG
rnacentral:rRNA from 1 species